UUUUAUUCAAAACUAGGCUCUGAAGGCUCUGUGAGCCAAGAGGAUGUUAGCUGCUUUGAUGACGAUUUUAACAGUGACGUUCUGAAAGGCUGUGAAUUAGGUUCUGUAAACCAAGAAGAGUUUAGCUCGUCAGAUGAAGAGUUUGUUGGCAAAGCUGCUGUGAAAGGCAAAGUUGAAAUUAAAGAUGACAGUGACACUGGCACAGCUGAUGAUGAAUCAAGUAAGGAU